rnacentral:lncRNA from 1 species
AGAGGAGCCAGCCCCGAGAAACAUGGCCGGCCAGGUGGGCUCUGCUGCAAGAGGCGUCCCAAGGUAGGCCUGGGACCACGCUCAGCCACAGGCCUCCUGAGAGGAAAGUGUUCAAAUGUGUGCCGGAAGUAGACGUGAAGACAAAACGUCCUGCGUGAUGAGUGAGGACGUCUCUGUGAUUGGCUUGUCUUUUCCUAUGGCUGCUGGGGCCCCCGCGGUGGAUUCUUUUUGGAGCAAGGACCAGCACAGCAGCAGCGAAACACAGCACGACAGAGAGGAGGUGCACAAAUGGGCCUUAGGAUCUGCUGCUCUUACCCGCUCCGGGUGCAGUGGCCCAAAGAGCUAGCCCAGCCUGCUGAUGAUCCUGCCCGAAGCCUCCACCUCGGAAGCCUCACGCAGUUCGAUGUCCUCAUC